CCACACAUAUCAACUAUUAUUAUGGAACAAAAACAAAAACAAAAAAAUUUUAUUACCAUUCUACCCUAUGCAUUUGCGCAAAAUAUUCCAAUGUUCCAAAAUCAUCAUCAUCAUCAUUACACAGCAGCAGCAGCCAAAUAGAGUAAGUAUAACAACAACAACAACAUUAUACGGCUGUUGGAACUAUUCCAUUUAGCCAUUUAAAAGGAAAACAAAAAAAUUGUUCCAAAAAUAAUACAACAUACACGCACACAAUCAGUUUGGU